GCUGGAACAGUAAGCAGUUGAAAACAUCACAUCUUAAGACUGAGAUGUUCAUUACUGUGAUAUUUGGUGAGGGAAGAGAGGAGAUACUGAACCUAAACUGCAAGGUUAUAAACUUCAUCCACUGUAUAAAAGAAAAAUGCAAUCUAGAUCCCCAAGAGACUGUGGACUUGAUGGACAGGAUGGGAGAGCUGGUGAACUUGGCAGAGAGAGCACAGAGCACCGACCUCGUCAGCAGUUUGCUGAAGGAGAGAGAGAGCUAUAUUCCAUUACGUGUAUCACGUGAGUUUGCCCUCACCAACUUCAGGUACAUCAGAUAUCACAAUAACUUUACGGAAAACAUCAGUAAAUACAGCUUUGUAUGUUCUCUUAUGCAGGAGGUGAAGGCAGUGAAGGUCCAAAGUAUACUGCAGUGUAUGACUUUGGGACAAGUUACCCUGAGCUAGCAGGCAAUGCUUCUAUUUUUCAUUCAUUAAUCUAUAAUUUAUUAAAAAGGAAAAAUUUGUUAUCAAGAAAAACACUCCAUGCUGCUUCUUUUCAUUGUAUUGUUAUUUUAAAGGAUUUUCCCACCAAUCUAAUGAAAAUAAAAUGUACG
rnacentral:lncRNA from 1 species